rnacentral:rRNA from 1 species
UACGGAGGAUCCAAGCGUUAUCCGGAAUCAUUGGGUUUAAAGGGUCCGUAGGCGGUUUAGUAAGUCAGUGGUGAAAGCCCAUCGCUCAACGGUGGAACGGCCAUUGAUACUGCUAGACUUGAAUUAUUAGGAAGUAACUAGAAUAUGUAGUGUAGCGGUGAAAUGCUUAGAGAUUACAUGGAAUACCAAUUGCGAAGGCAGGUUACUACUAAUUGAUUGACGCUGAUGGACGAAAGUGUGGGUAGCGAACAGG